rnacentral:rRNA from 1 species
AUUAAACGCUGGCGGCAUGCCUUACACAUGCAAGUCGAACGGCAGCACGGGGGCAACCCUGGUGGCGAGUGGCGGACGGGUGAGUAAAGCAUCGGAACGUAUCCUGGAGUGGGGGAUAACGUAGCGAAAGUUACGCUAAUACCGCAUAUUCUGUGAGCAGGAAAGCAGGGGAUCGCAAGACCUUGCGCUCUGGGAGCGGCCGAUGUCGGAUUAGCUAGUUGGUGGGGUAAAGGCCUACCAAGGCGACGAUCCGUAGCGGGUCUGAGAGGAUGAUCCGCCACACUGGGACUGAGACACGGCCCAGACUCCUACGGGAGGCAGCAGUGGGGAAUUUUGGACAAUGGGCGGAAGCCUGAUCCAGCCAUGCCGCGUGAGUGAAGAAGGCCUUCGGGUUGGUUAAAGG